UACGAAGGGGGCUAGCGUUGCUCGGAAUCACUGGGCGUAAAGCGCACGUAGGCGGAUUGUUAAGUCAGGGGUGAAAUCCUGGAGCUCAACUCCAGAACUGCCUUUGAUACUGGCGAUCUCGAGUCCGGGAGAGGUGAGUGGAACUGCGAGUGUAGAGGUGAAAUUCGUAGAUAUUCGCAAGAACACCAGUGGCGAAGGCGGCCAACUGGACCAUUACUGACGCUGAGGCGCGAAAGCGUGGGGAGCAAACAGG
rnacentral:rRNA from 1 species